GAAGUCGUAACAAGGUUUCCGUAGGUGAACCUGCGGAAGGAUCAUUA
rnacentral:rRNA from 3 species